rnacentral:lncRNA from 1 species
AUGAUAAAGGAGAACGUGUUUCUGUCUUGUAUUGUGAAAUUCUCAGUACUGGAGUGUAGACUGGGUAGAACACCAACUGGUAAAGAAAGAGUAAAGUCACCGACCUCACCAGUUCUGGCCUCUUUCCGACCGGAGAAAAGGGAAGAGGGCGGACAGCAGUCAAUUGCAUGGCCAGGCAAACUUCUCUGUCCCGGGUCCCCUCGCCCCAGCGAGAACCUCGCCUCGCGCGCGAGCGCGCGCCUGCGCGGACCAGGCCGGCUGCCGGGGCCGCCUUGGCCCCUUCACUUCCCCGGCGGUCCACAAGAAGUACCCCAGCGAGUGCGACGAGGUGCAGCCAGGCUAAAGGAAGAGGGCGGGCUCACGCUCCCCACUUACUUGGUACUCGAUCUCCAGCGAGGCCUUCAGCGGCAUGGACUGGUAGAAACACUCCUUCUGUCCGGCCGGAAGGAAAUGGAAUCAGGUUCAUCAGCCUGUUAUAAUGAAGACAAUGAAGAAGAAAGUUUGCUUGCAAAUGUUGCGUCGUUAAGACAUGAACUGAAGAUAACAGAAUGGAGUUUGCAGAAUUUAGGGCAAGAGUUAUCCAGUGCUAGUCCAAGUGAAAAUUCCAAUUUUGCUUCUAAUCCUUCAAGGUUUGAAAAACGUAUUAUGGAAGAUCUUGUUCAGCCUAGCCACCCAGGACUUUUGAAUUACUCAUCUUCUAAAAACAUUUGUAAAAUGUCCAGUAGCAGCUCUGAUUUUCAGAAAAAGCCAAAAGAUAAGAUUUCUGUGCUUGAGUCUGCUCAACAGCAUGCAGCAACUAUCCCAAUCUUAGAAGAACAGAUUAUGAAUUUGGGAGCAGAAGUUUCAGCUCAAGAUAAAGUUUUGAGGUAAAUAUACUUUUUAUAGCCUUAAAAUUUUUAUUAUUAAAAAUUUUUUUUUAAUUUUUUCUGGUUGUUAUAUUUUGCUAAAUCUUACCCCUCACCCUACUCCAAUAAAUCUAUAGUGACCUAUA